CCAGCACAACCCAUUAUCCACCAGCACAGUACAUAUCAACGCGGAGGUACAGCUUUUUCUUUUCCUGAGCUUGGUAAAUUCCAGCUCCUGCCAAGCAAGGAAACAGCUCUGUGCACCACCCCCGCCCGGAUCCCAGGGACAUCUAGUCUCUACCCUUCAUCAAGAAAACCUCUCUUUGGAACCGAUGGAGACCACUAUGGAUAGACCA